AUGCCAAACAACAUCCAUCCCCAUCUUCUGCAUCAGAUGAGUCCCUGCCAGUCUCAAAGUUGCGGUUCACUGCCAUCGCACAGCUUUCCUUCUCAUCUCUUACCCUUGAGGCCAGACGGAAAAGAGAAAGAAGAAAAAUUACCCAACUUUCUCCGUGUCUCAGGUGGGAUAGAAAUGCGAACACCUCUGCCUUCAGUGACUCUAUUUUUAUACCAAAUGGCUAAUCAAGGGUCUUCUCUGAACAAAGAUAGUGUUUUCUUUUUCUCCAGAAGGCACUUUGGUACUGGUGAGGGAGUGUAUCAGUCCAUUCUGACUCUGCUCUAAAGAACACCUGAGACUGGGUAGUUUAUGAAGAAGGGGAGUUUAGUUGACUCACAUUUCUGCAGCUUGUACAGGAGGCAUGGCUGGGAGGCCUCAGUAUACUUACAAUCAUGGUGGAUGGCAAAGGGGAAGCAAACAUGUCUUCCCCUGGCUGCAGGAGAGAAAGAGCUAAGGGGGAGAUGCUACACACUUUUAGACAAACAGAUCUCAUGAGAACUCACUCACAAGACAGUACUUAAGGGAUGGUGCUAAACCAUUAGAAACCACCCCCAAGAUCCCAUCACCUCCCACCAGCCCCCCACACCCAGCCCCAACACUUGGGAUCACAAUUCAACAUGAAAUUUGGGUGGGGACAUAGAGCCAAACCGUAUCAGGUAGUAUAUUAUUCAACUCUUUACACAUUGUUGAAAAAGAGAAUUUGUGAUAUUGCCUUGCCUCCCUUUUUAGAUAGGUAAAAAAUGCCGCCUUCUUGUAUUUUUAUACUCUAGCCAGGUAUGCUGCUUUAGUUCAGUUCCAUUUAAGAUUCUGUGGCAGAUAUGCCUGAAUCUCCUUGCUUGGCUAAUUCUUACAUAUUCUUCAAAUCUCAGCUUAAAUUUUACUUCCCAAGAAGAUUAUUAAUGUACACUUUCAUAUUAUAUGACCUUUCAUUACCUUCACCAUUUUUUAAUUAUUUCUUUCAUGCUGGAACAUAAACUCCAUGAGGAAAAGCUCUUGUGUACUCCAGAUCCCAGUGCCUGUUACCAAGCAGCCAUCCAGUUUAAUGGUAAUAGAUUAAUCAGUUUCAAUUGAAUUGAAAGAGAGAGGACUAUUAAUAGAAGAAAGAACAUGUUGGAUAGUUAGAAACGUCAUCUUUACUUCAUAGUUUCUGGUGAAACGUUUUUUAAAGAUUCUAUUCCAAAGAAAAUUGUAAAACAAAAAUGAAAUGGAGAACUGGUGAUGUUUGUAAAAGAGAGAAAGUAAACGGAACACUGUUAGCAGAAGUAGGGUAAAGGAUUUUUGUUAGUAGAUUGCCAAAUACCAACAAUUUUCUCCUCCAAGUGAAGGUCUUAUUUUUGAAUGCACAAAAGCUUGUUUCUCUUUCAAUUAGUAGCCUUUUCUCAUCUCUAUUUUGACCAACAGUUUCUUAUAAUUUGGACACUAUGGGGCCUCAGAAACUAUCAUUCCAAGUUCUAAGACCCUUGUGAUAGAGGUUUCCUAGGUGGUCAGGCAGAGAAGAGAGAAUAUGAAGGAAUUUAUAGUAUUUAAAAUUCUGCAAAUCUAACAACUUCAUAAGUAACACUUCUAUACUACCAGUAGCCUUCCUAGCUAUAGCACGGCUUCAUGAAAAUUAUGCCUUGGGCAAAUUAUUCUAGAGAUUUGAACACUGUAGCAAAUAGCUGAGAUGAAAGAAAACUGAAUAGAACAUUUGUUUCCCUCUGGCUUAUAAUGAGUGGGUGGUCAUCAUAAAUAAUAUUCAUUUCCUUUAACCAAGUAUCUCUUUCAUCUAACACAUAUUAAUGGUUACUGAUACUUUGACUUUGCCACUAAAUUCUAAGCAUUAACAUCACACAUUAGAAAACAUUUCCAUUUCAAUUCUUCAAGGUUAUUAGCUUCCUUGUUUCAUUUAUACACCUUGCAUAUUUCAAAAUAACAUCUGACUUCUUGUUAAUGAUAAAUUAAGCAUUGAAAAUUGGCCCAAAUAAAUCUAGAAAUAACAGGAAACUUUCUUCCUGGAAAGCAACUAUGGAAGUAUACCGCUGGUGUGCCAGAAUUGGAGGAAAGGAAAACAUACGCAAGAUAUACUGCAAGAGAGCCAAGAAUAAACUAAACGGCUCCUCACUAGUGAAAGGAUACAAAAAUGUCCCUAACUAUUUUUAAUGGUUAUAAUAAUAGUUUUAAUAAUAAAUAUAGUUUUAAUUCUACCAGAAAGGGGAUUAGACAAAUGGAGCAGUAGCAGGAGGUAAAAUGGGAUCAAGAGAAGACUCAUGCGGCCUGGCAUGGUGGCUCACGCCUGUAAUCCCAGCACUUUGGGAGGCCAAGGAGGGCAGAUCACGAGGUCAGGAGAUCGAGGUCAUCCUGGCUAAGAGGGUGAAACCCUGUCUCUACUUAAAAAUACAAAAAAUUAUCCGGCAUGGUGGCGGGUGCCUGUAGUCCCAGCUACUCAGCAGGCUGAGGCAGGAGAAUGGCAUGAACCCAGGAGGCGGAGCUUGCAGUGAGCCGAGAUCACGCCACUGCACUCCAGCCUGGGCAACAGAGCGAGACUCCAUCUCAAAAGAAAAAAAAAAAAAGGCUCAUGCAAACGAUCCAUUAGUAAAGGAUAAAAAUGUGAUGCAAGAGAGAAAGAGGGAAAUAGUGGGAAAAAAUGUUUUUGACAAGGGGAAAAAAGGAUACAAUCUACUGUGUAUGUGGAUAAUCUGGACUUUGAUAGGCUUAUGGGCAGUUCAUUCAUUGUACAUGUGGGAAAUCUGAGCGUAGAGCUUGCUAAAAAUCAAUUUUAGCCUAAAGCUCCCUCCUUAUGUAUUUUAAAUUGAGCCUAAGGGUUUCUCUGCACAGAGUGAACUAUGACCUAAGUGGUAGUGUAUACCAACUGUAAUCUACUCUUGUGCCAAUCACCAAGUUUUGGCCAAUCAAAGGGAGUCAACUAUUCAAAUCAUGUUGUGUUAAGGCAAAUGCCAAAGCUGUAACAAAUCUGGCUGUUUUUUCUGUACCUCACUUCCAUUUUGUGUAAGUCACUUUCCUUUGUCUGUCCAUAAAUCUUUUUCUACCACGUGGCUGUGCUGGUCUCUCUGAGCCUACUCUGUCUUGGGAGGCUGUCUGAUUUGCAAAUCCUUUGCUGAAUUAGACUGUGUUACAUUUAAUUUGGCUAAAGUUUUUCUUUUAACAGGUUUCAGGGACCAAUAGGGUGAUAAUUGUGGUGAGAGCCUAUAGGCAGUCUUUUCUCAUUUCAAUUUUUGGCAAAUAAAAAGAGAAAAAGCAUUGGGUGUUUUAAAAAAACGUGGUAUGAGGUAGUUGAGUAUGACAGUGGGAAAGUGAAAAAAGGUGGAAAAUAUUAGAACAAGUUAAAAUAAUGAGACGUGUGUGCGUGUGUGUAAAGAAAAAUAAAACUCAAAAAUUAUAAAAUUAAGUGAAUAAAGCAAGGUGCAAUAAAGCAAGAUUGUAGAGUAUCACAGCAUUUAUCUAAAUUUAAAAUAUUAAUCCAAGUUUAUAUAAAUAUGUCUGCAAGGCACACACAAAAAGGUGGACCACAAGAAUACCAACCAAAAUAUUAGUAGUGAUUGACUGACUUAGCAGCAGCAGAGACCUUGCAGGUGGAGAGAAGGUGAAGGUGCAGGUAGGUGCCUAAGGGGAUUUGCUUCAUGUAAAAAAGAAAACCAUUUUACUGAAAUGUUUUCUUUCUUUAAAAAAAGGCUUGUAGCAAAAAUGACAAAGAUGAACAUCUAUUAAUAAUGAUGGCAGAGACUGAAGUAUUGAGAUAUAAUCUAUAAUAUAUAUUGGCUAUUUUUUCAAAACAAAAUGCAUAUAAAAUGGAAAGAAAAGUUAAUAGAGAUACAAGAAAAUCCCCAAAUUUUACACUGACUCCUCAAUGUUAAAAAUAUCCAAG
rnacentral:lncRNA from 1 species